GCUUCCCUGCUCCUUUAAGCGUCCACUGGCGGCGGAGCGGCCGCAGUCUCAGCUCCGGGCAUCGGGGGAUCCCGAGCGGCGGUGCCUGGGGAUCCGCGCGGGCGCCUUUGGUCUGGGUCCCAUCUUCUCUGGCCUCCCGCACCCUUGAAGUUUUGCAGCGCCCAGAAAGGAGAAGGAAGGAGAGAAGGGAAGGUUUUUAAAAAGCCCACUUUAAACAUUUAUUUAAAGGAGAAAAGAAGGUGGGAGCGCAAAAAUGGCUGGGGCAAUUAUAGAAAACAUGAGCACCAAGAAGCUCUGCAUUGUUGGAGGGAUUCUGCUGGUUUUCCAAAUCGUCGCCUUUCUGGUGGGAGGCUUGAUUGCUCCAGCACCCACAACAGCAGUGCCCUACAUGUCAAUAAAAUGUGUGGACGUCCGUAAGAACCACCACAAGACAAGAUGGCUGGUGCCUUGGGGACCCAAUAAAUGUGACAAGAUCCGAGACAUUGAAGAAGCAAUUCCAAGGGAAAUUGAAGCCAAUGAUAUUGUGUUUUCUGUACACAUUCCCCUCCCUGCCAUGGAGAUGAGCCCGUGGUUCCAGUUCAUGCUGUUCAUCCUGCAGCUGGACAUUGCCUUCAAGCUGAACAACCAAAUCAGAGAAAAUGCAGAAGUUUCCAUGGAUGUUUCCCUGGGUUACCGUGAUGACAUGUUUUCUGAAUGGACUGAAAUGGCCCAUGAGAGAGUACCAAGGAAACUCAAAUGCACUUUCACAUCCCCCAAGACCCUAGAGCAUGAAGGCCGUUACUACGAAUGUGAUGUCCUUCCUUUCAUGGAAAUUGGAUCAGUGGCUCAUAAGUAUUACCUUCUAAAUAUCCGUCUGCCUGUGAACGAGAAGAAAAAAAUUAAUGUUGGGAUUGGGGAGAUCAAGGAUAUUCGAUUGGUGGGAAUUCAUCAAAAUGGAGGCUUCACUAAGGUGUGGUUCGCUAUGAAGACCUUCCUCACGCCCAGCAUCUUCAUCAUUAUGGUGUGGUAUUGGAGGAGGAUUACCAUGAUGUCCCGACCCCCAGUGCUUCUGGAAAAAGUCAUCUUUGCCCUUGGGAUUUCUAUGACCUUUAUCAAUAUCCCCGUGGAAUGGUUUUCCAUUGGGUUUGACUGGACCUGGAUGCUAUUGUUUGGGGAUAUCCGACAAGGCAUCUUCUAUGCAAUGCUUCUUUCCUUCUGGAUCAUCUUCUGUGGCGAGCAUAUGAUGGAUCAACACGAGCGAAAUCACAUUGCAGGGUAUUGGAAACAAGUUGGACCAAUUGCUGUUGGCGCUUUCUGCCUUUUCAUAUUUGACAUGUGUGAGAGAGGAGUACAACUUACAAAUCCCUUCUACAGUAUCUGGACUACAGAUGUUGGAACAGAACUGGCUAUGGCUUUCAUCAUUGUGGCUGGUAUAUGCCUCUGCCUCUAUUUCCUGUUUCUGUGCUUCAUGGUAUUUCAGGUGUUUCGAAACAUCAGUGGGAAGCAGUCUAGCCUGCCAGCCAUGAGCAAAGUCCGGAGGCUGCACUAUGAGGGGCUGAUUUUCAGGUUCAAGUUCCUCAUGCUUAUUACCUUGGCCUGUGCUGCCAUGACUGUUAUCUUCUUCAUCGUUAGUCAGGUGACUGAAGGGCAUUGGAAAUGGGGUGGUGUCACAGUUCAAGUGAACAGUGCUUUCUUCACUGGUAUCUACGGAAUGUGGAACCUGUAUGUCUUUGCUUUGAUGUUCUUGUAUGCACCAUCCCAUAAGAACUAUGGGGAAGACCAGUCUAAUGGCUUCUCACCUGUAUAGCUGGCAUGAUCAUACUGCCUGCACUAUAGCCUGUUCUUGUGAAGAUUAUAUAAGAUCAGUAGUGACCUGGGUAUCCACAGUGUAGAAGAACUGCAGCUCACCACCACCAUCACCCAUGUGGAUGGACCCACCGAGAUCUACAAGUUGACCCGUAAGGAAGCACAGGAAUAGAAGAUGCUGGUGUGGCACUUGCUUGGGACUGUCUUUCUAUCCAGCCCCUUCCCCUGGAGUGGGGCACCUACUACACAGAGCUCAGUGACAAGUGAAUGCCUAGUGCCUCUUAGGUGUGGCUUCUUGGAGCAGUGAGUGGACAUUUGUGAGAUGCCCUCCAACAGUGGUUUUUGGAGGGCUUCUGUUCCUAAUGCAUUGUGUAUGAUAUUUUCUGUGAUCAUUGUUACUAGUGAGUGACAUAGCAACAUCUGUAGCAGUGGUUAGUAAGCCUCAUGUGGAGGGAUGUACUCCUUGAGAUGUUUUGGGCCAAUGGGGGCUAUCUUGAGUGAAAUAUGACUUUUUUUCUGUUUUAGAUUCUGGGAUAGAUUUAAAAUUCUUUGUAGGAUGCUAAUGUCAUAGUCUUCACUCUCCUCCACAGGUACUUUUUUCUUUCCUAUUCAUAUCACCAAGUAGCAACUGAGUUAGUAUUUAAGUUGUCAGUACAAAGGUGCCUGUUUUUUAUGACUUACUAUAAAAUGACUGAAUUUCAUGAGAAAUUCUAGUCCACCAGAAGCAUUUCAGCUUUGAAACCAAAUCUGUCUCUCUGAUACUAACAAGUCUGUUGGCUGUGGGUUUUGAAAAAUGUUUGCUAAACUACCCAAGUAGGAUUUAUGGUAUUAAAUGGCCUUUGGGUCCUAAAAGCUUUUUUAACCUAUUGCUUAAAAUGUGUUUUCUUUUGAUAAGAUGCUUCAAAAAGCCUCCAAAAGUGUAAAUCCAAUCAUUUGAAUAAACUGAAUACAAAUGUG